UAAUUUUAUUUCAAACAUUCCUUAUUCAUAUUUCUCGUGGUGUGCUAAUUGUUAUACUUGUUACCGCUCUCCACUCAACCAUACAUAUUUAUAUAUUUGCAUAUUGAGAAGAUCAUUCAUACCUAAGAUGAAAAAAAUGUAAUGCGUAUUUAAUUAUAAAUAUUUAAAAUAUUUUGUUCCGUUAUUCUUCUUGUGUAUAAAUUAUAAUGUUGAAAUAACAAAACAAAAAUUUGUGAGAUCAAUUGCAAAUAAAAGUUUGAACAGAUCGCGUUAAAUACCUACGCGAGACUUGUAAAAAACAAAAACUGUGCUUAACUGAAAUAAGUAAAUCUUUAAAUUUUGUCACAAUAAGAUAUUGUCUCAUAAAGAAGAUCAAUCAUUAUAAGAUCAUUAAUUAUAAUUGUAAAAAUUUGAUAAUCAUCGCCGAGGAAACUCGGUGUUGAUUAUAGAUAUUAAUCGAUAUAGUUAGUUAUAGUUACCUAAACUCAACAAAUUCAAUCAGCUAAUCGAAGGUGGUGGACACAAAAUAAAAAGGGAUAUUUGCAUAUAUAUAGAAACUGCAGGGCACCGAAGGGAUAUUAUUUUGUCCAUUCAUGAUUGCUGUAUUCUACAAUUUUUUUAAAAUCAACACCAACAAACUAAAUGAAUAAAUGUAUGUAAGUUAAAAUAAUAAAAA